CUCGUAGGCGGCUGAUUAAGUCGGAUGUGAAAUCCCUGAGCUUAACUUAGGAAUUGCAUUCGAUACUGGUCAGCUAGAGUAUGGGAGAGGAUGGUAGAAUUCCAGGUGUAGCGGUGAAAUGCGUAGAGAUCUGGAGGAAUACCGAUGGCGAAGGCAGCCAUCUGGCCUAAUACUGACGCUGAGGUACGAAAGCAUGGGGAGCAAACA
rnacentral:rRNA from 1 species